ensembl:lncRNA
AUGUCAGCGAUUCCGCGAGAGGCCGCCAGGGGGCGAGCGACCACCGCUCGGCCGCGAGCUCCCCGCUCCCCUCGCUGCGCCCCAACCGCCAGCAAAGGGCGCGCGCCUGGCGCUGAGCCUAACCGCUGCCUCCAACCGGACAGGACAGAACCGGGCGGGACGGGACAGAGGUUUGGGUCCAAGCCCAGCUGUGUUUGCGGCGGGUCCGGGGCCCGGAAACCGCUGGAGCGUCCCCAAGAACGAAAGUGGGAAAUGGUCUUCGCGGUUAAAGCCCCAGUCCUCGGGGAGCAGACCUCCGCUCUGUGGCAGUGCCGUGCGCCUGGGAGCUGCGUGGAACAUUCCGCAACGGUCACUCCCGGGCCCUGCAUUGGUCUUGACCACAGGACCCGGAGGCACAGGGAGAAGCCUCCCCUGGAUGCUGGCGAGUUGACUUCAGUGGCUGAGACUGUCCGGGAGAGCCGGGAGCACCGCAUGCUUCCAGCAGAUGGUGGGCAGGCCUGUGCGCAUGAGCACCUGUGUCCCUGAAGAGGAUCUCCGUGGCGCUACCUGGCCCAGGCAGGUCACCGAGGGCUCCUCAGCCCUGAGCGCAAGAGGGUGCACCAAGGACAAGAUUCAGCACCGUCACGCCAGAACAGCUACACGGAGCCACAGGUCACUUUCCAAAAAGGCAGUUUCCAGGCCAGAAGCCACCCCUGCAGCACUGCCUUAUGCUCCAAGAGAAGGCCCACCACACAGCUCUGCUCAGAUGGAACCACUGUUCCCUCAGCGUCCUUGUCAGCACCAGGUGACUUUCCGACCCAACCCCUCCCUCGCUCUCUGCCUCGUUUUGCAAAGGUGCUGUGUUUGCCUGAAAGGACAUUUGCAGCCAGCAGUGGUGGCAGCUGGUCCUUAGGAUGGGCACGAAUGCCAUUGUCAAGCAACGGGGACAGACUCCGUGGAAAGGUGCUUCCCUUCCUCCAGGUAUGCGCCCAGUGGGGAGUCCUCAUUCUCAAGUUCAGAGUUAGCCUGCAGACUGCACAGCACGUCGCCUGCUUCUCUGCCCGGCUUCGGUCAGCGCAGGACCCGCCACAGCAGGACCCUCCACGCUGUGCUCACCCAGCUCUUGUCCAUGGCAUGGAAACUCCUUCCUGGUCCUGAUUCCCUUCUGGGCAUGGGGUGGGAGGGACAUGUGGCCCUUGCUGAGGUCUAAUACCGUGUUCCCAGCAUGGAAGUAGGUGCCCUGAAGAGGAGCGGAAACACCUAUUGUGGCAUGCAGGGAUUCUGCGUAGAAAACUGUGACGUCACCCCUCCUCCCCGCUCGGUUUUGGUAGUGGACCACUCCCUGGCCCCCCUCUCAUUGUCCCACUCUUGGCAGGAGAGAGGAGGAGAGGCUGUCACUUUCCCCCUGCACCAGCCACCCUCGGUCUGCAGGGAUCCCUGAAGCUGUCCAGGGCCGCUCCACACCUGGUGGUCAAGUAACUGUCCCCUCACUCUGGGUGUCUGUGCCCUCUCUGGAGUUGGGAGAGGAAAGAAAGUCACGAGCUCUAAAUGUGGCUUGAGUCGAGACAUGUUUCUGUGCAAUCGGGUGAGGAGGGGCCAGGCCCUCUGUGUGCUCUUCACACCCCGGAGCUCGCGCCCCCUUCCUUGGGUCCCGAUGGACAGCAGGGAAAAACGGGGCUGCCGGCCUGUGGGUGGCAGUGAAGGGGGCGCCGCCUCCAGCCGAUGCCCAGGGACUCAUGGGGGCCCCGGCCACUGGUCCCAGCAGUGGGCUCUGUUUCUUCUUUGCCCUGUAAAUGCAGGGUCUGCCAGCCCCAAAUAUCCCGUCUGCAUUUGGUUAAAUUUGAAGCUCUGUGGCUCUUACUCAUCCUGGAAGCUGAAUGAGAGGUUUUCUGCAAUGGGGUGAGGAGGGGCCAGGCCCUCUGUGUGCUCUUCACACCCCGGAGCUCGCGCCCCGUUCCUUGCGUCCCGAUGGACAGCAGGGAAAAACGGGGCUGCCGGCAGGAGACUGACAGCCAAAGCACGGAGAGUCAAGAUGUGGGCAGAGGCUGAGCUCCGGGCAGACCACCCCUGUGGCCCUAACCCGGGGAUGCCGGGUUCCUCCAGCCACCCCUCCCCACCCACGGGAGCCACAGUGGCAUGGCCCGGGCCCACCCUGCAGUCGGCUGCAGAAAGUGAGGGACUGUCAGAGCACGGCAGAAAUGUGGUUUAUGUAUGUCCUUGAUCUGAGUUCUGUUUUUCCUCUACACGAAAGGUUUCUGACCAUGCUGCUGUAUUCUUCAUUACUUCUUUUGGAAAUGUAUGAAGAAAUGGUGGCAUUUUGGAGUUACUGGCCUGUGAAAUAUCUAGAGAUGGUGGUAGAUGUGGGUGGUUGUGGCCACCUCUGUGCCUCCCCAGCACAGUGGUGUGUGGGUAGCCCAGGCAGGCGCUCAGGAAGGGCGAGGUGGAGGCUAGCGUGCUCUGCGCACAAAGUCCUGGGAUCCCUUCAACCCAAGCACUGCCCCGACAGCAGCCAGCAUCGCUGAUAGAAGAAGCACUGUUGGUUGGAAGUCCAGCUGUUGCCAGACAGAGGGCAUCACUAGAGAGCCACGCUCCGUGGGGGUCAUUCGAGUUGUCUUGGUGUAUGCAGACACCGUUGCUUCUAGAGAGUCAGAAGUUCCAUGUGGGUAGUGUUGGAGCAGAAUUUAGAAUUUUGGGACAGUGAUGGAAAGCCCCCUCCCAAGCCAGCUGGGGAGUAAGGGGAGGGGUGGCUGGAGGAACCUGGCAUCCCCGGGUUAGGGCCACAGGGGUGGCUCUGCCCGCAGCUCAGCCUCUGCCCACAUCUUGACUCUCCGUGCUUUGGCUGUCGGUCUCCUCGUCCUUCCCUGUUCUCAGUGCAGGAGGACACUGAAUCAAAUGCCUCGUCCUGGUUCGUAUCUUGUGGAUGAUGCUUGCAAACCUCAGGGCUCUGUGGACCUUGCAGAAGCCUGCAGAUCCUGGGCCCAGAGACUCUUCUCCCUAGGGCAGGAGGCAGUGCAGUGUGUGGACGGGGCUGGCCUGGCACACAGUGGCUGCCCCGGGGACUUCCUGGCUUUCUGGGCCUUUCCAGCCCUGAGUGUGACUUUCCUGUUCUUCAUCACAUCCUCUAGCCUGAGAGCUAACUGUAGCCUGCAGAAGGCGGCCUCGUCCUCUUCCUCUGUGAGCAAAGAGGGGGCCUGGCAGUCCCGGGAGUCUUGGACACUUGCUCCCCGCCUCCCUGGUGAAUACGUUCUUGGUGGACUUCCAUCCUUGCCUUCACUCUAGAGAAUGCCCCUGUUUUGUUGUGUAGGAUGUGGUCAAUGACUGACGCGUUCUUCAGGGUGUCAAUAUCCCUCUUGACACAGCUCUGAUUUCUGGUGCUCCUGGCUCUGCACACAGCAGGCGCCACUCUGGGCUCUGUGAGAUGCAUCCUGCAGUUCACUGGUCUUCUAGGUGGCUCUUUUCCCUGUGUCCUCUGCCACUGCCCUGUUCUGGGCAGGAGGCUCUCACCCUCAGGUGGGGGGGGGUCCCGCCUCCACCCCCCACCUCCUGCCUCCCUUCUUUGAUCCUUUCCUGUAAGGGUCUGCUGGGGUCCUGUGUGUGGUGCAUCGUUGAUAGAUUCCCGUCCUGCUUGCUGUCUUCUCCAUUCUGAGGGACCUCUGAGAGGCUGUGAGCAGUUUAGAAGGGCUUCUCCUGGCCCCUUCACCCAUGGAAUUCCCACAAUGGGGACAUGUUUGUGAGAGGUGCAUCCUGGGAGUUUGAGACGUCAGGUGAGAAGGGAGGGUCCAACAAAGUGCAUUAGCCUGGGAGUUAUAAGCCCCAGAAAGUUCGGAAGGCCGAGAAGUCCAAGAUCAAGAUGCCUGAGGAUUUGGAGCCUGGUGAGGGCCGGUUCCUUAGGGCCGUGCCUCUAGCUGUGUCCUCAUGUGGCUGAAGGGGCCAGGGGAGGUUUCUGGGGCCUCUAUGAUGAGAGCACUAACUUCUCCAGGAGAGGAGUGGGAAUGCUGGUCUGGCUUCAGGGCAAUUCCAAAGGCUCCAGCUGUUCUUUCUACCCCAUUGGGAAUUAGGCUUCAUCAUAGAAAUUUAGGGGACACUGACAUUCAGGCCAUAGCACGUCAAAGAUGAAGUGAGGUGUGCAUGUGGGAACCUCCCAGAUCUGGAUGUGGACCAGACAGAAGGAAACUGAAAGUGAUGGGGUGACCGAUGGUCGCUGGUCUGUGUAGGACUCAGCUGUGAGCGUGGCCCUGGGCACGGUGACAGUGGCUGUUGGAGGAUGACAGGGAACAUGCGGGGUUUUGGGGAGGGUGGAACCCGCCAUGAGUGGAUAGUCACUUUAGGCUCCAGAAGCAAAGCUAGAGGAGGCUCCCCUCUCCCCUCCCUGCACAGAAUGUCACGUCUGUGGUGGUCCUGUCGUCUGCCUUGGCGCACAGGUGUUGCUGUAACAAGUCCUGCAAUUACCUUCAAAAGGAGGCUUGUGCAGUUGCCUGCGGGAGACAGGAGGCCUGAAGUGCAUCCUGAGUGUCCUGGGGACAGGCGAGCCUGGCAGGGGUCCACAGCCCCACAGUCCCAAGUGCUGCCUCAGGGACGGGCAGAGCGCGUGUUUGGUUCUGGCUCACAAGGUCCCCAUCUCAGAGCUGUGGAUAGUCAUAAAGGGUUCGUGCGCAUGAAGAGGGCCACAAAUGACCCAUGAACGUCAGGCCUCUCUGCUGCCAUCAGCCAAGUGCAAUGCACCAGGCUUUUGGGCCUCGAGACCCUUCCCUCGUCUGGGCCUUGCUGUUUUCCUCCUCUGGCCCCUCUGUGUGUACGCACACACACAUGCAAUGCAUGCAGGCACACAUAUUCAUUGCAAUUUCUCUCUGUUUCCCUGUAUUCCCCAAAAUUCUGUGGGUUCCUCUUUACUCCUCAAAGAUAUAGGCCUGGGCCCCAUCUCAGCCUAUAGAGGCCUGAACCUUUCCCAGGACUGUUUCUAAUUCUCAGGUCCUGCUUUAAAAUAAAAAACGAAAAUGCUUUCUGGAAAGAAUGAUACGCCAACAUAAAGCACCGGUAUCCUAAGCAUGUGGUGCGUCUGUUGUCUUGAACCGACUACACUGUGAAACCACCAUCCGUGCCAAAACCCAGUGUUUCCCAAGACCUGGAGGUGCUCCCCAGUCACUAAUUGUGAGCACCUGCCCCGAUCACCACUGAGCCCUGAAGGUCACCCUCUCCUGACCUCUUACAGCACUGAUUGCUUCUGCCGGGCACAAUUUUAGGCCUUUGCUGUUGAACAAUCUAAUCAUCCCCAAAACCCUAUGAGAUCAUCAUUUCCAUAUGGCAGAGGAGAAAACUUGGGGACAUGGGAGCUGUGUCCUAGAUGAGGCCUUGCUGGCAGGAAAAGGCAGAGCUGGAGAUUAGCCAGGAGCCCCAGCACAGUCCCGUUCUUCCCCCACUAAACCGGGCUGUGUAACAUGUCAUGGCAGUCUGGAAAGCAAGCUAGCUCCGUGCCGAUGGAGGUGUUGACGGAUGCCCACCACUCUCCACUUGGUGGGAG